rnacentral:rRNA from 1 species
AACGAACGCUGGCGGCAGGCCUAACACAUGCAAGUCGAGCGGACCCUUCGGGGUUAGCGGCGGACGGGUGAGUAACGCGUGGGAAUAUGCCCUUCUCUACGGAAUAGUCCUGGGAAACUGGGGGUAAUACCGUAUACGCCCUUUGGGGGAAAGAUUUAUCGGGGAAGGAUUAGCCCGCGUUGGAUUAGGUAGUUGGUGGGGUAAUGGCCUACCAAGCCGACGAUCCAUAGCUGGUUUGAGAGGAUGAUCAGCCACACUGGGACUGAGACACGGCCCAGACUCCUACGGGAGGCAGCAGUGGGGAAUCUUAGACAAUGGGGGCAACCCUGAUCUAGCCAUGCCGCGUGAGUGAUGAAGGCCUUAGGGUUGUAAAGCUCUCUCAGCUGGGAAGAUAAUGACGGUACCAGCAGAAGAAGCCCCGGCUAACUCCGUG